UCUUAUGCAUGAGCAAAGAAAGUGGUUUCUUGACAUGGAAACUGCUCCUGGUGGAAAUGCUAUGAA
rnacentral:pre_miRNA from 1 species